rnacentral:ribozyme from 1 species
AAGUAAAUUCUGAAUUCUAAAUUCUUUUUUCUCGUGUGUGUCUGGUUAACAAAAAAAAAAAGUAAAUUCUGAAUUGAUUGCCAUACUAUUCAUUCGAUUUGGAAAGAUCUGGCAUGAUUUUUAGCUAAAUUCAGGCAGGAUUUCUUG